rnacentral:lncRNA from 1 species
GGGCAGUUGUGCUUGCAGCAGACAGGUGUGCAAACACCUGCCUGACUCUGCGUGUUGGGAAAGCAGGAUUUGGGCAAGGCAGUGUCAGGGAGGCAUCCUGCCCCAGGUACAUCUGCAGGGCACAAAAAGCCCCCAUACUUCAGGGCUGUCAGUGUGAUAUUCUUCAAAAGAUCCUUAAAACAAGAAGGGGACAGCACCGAGGCCCUGACGCUGAGGAAAUGGCCCCAACGAACAGGUGCAUGCUUGCAGUGAGCGCGAGAGAGGGACACCGAGGCCUGUCCUUAUCUGACAAAAGGGCAGUUCUUCACCCAAAUCAGCCCACUCCUACUGAAUCUCUGGCCUCGGGGUCUAGAGAUGUGGGACAUAAUCAACACACUGAAGGACACUCCUGUGAGGAGCAGACCUGCUACUUCGUGGCUCCCAAGUGCUGCCCCCUUCAUCACAACCAGGAAUUUAAGGAGCCACAGGAAGGAAAAAUGAAGAAGCUCCUUUCCAUAUGACUGCUACAGAUAGGUGAUGAGAAGAAAGCAAAAGUUCAAACACUGGUAAGAAACUGCCUUGACAUCUGCAGAAUCAAGGACCAGAAGACUUACAAGAUGGAAUGAACCCACUCUAAGUUGUUCUAACAAUAAACAAUUAACUUUGGACUGGUGCCUUUGAAGA